rnacentral:lncRNA from 1 species
GGAGGCAUCAUGGUUUGGGGCUGCUUUGCUGCGUCAGGGACUGGACGGAUUGCUAUCAUCGAAGGAAAAUGAAUUCCCAAGUUUAUCAAGAAAUUUUGCAGGAGAACAUAAGGCCAUCUGUCUACCAGCUGAAGCUCAACAGAAGAUGGGUGUUGCAACAGGACAAUGACCCAAAGCAUAGAAGUAAAUCAACAACAGAAUGGCUUAAGCAGAAGAAAAUAUGCCUUCUGAAGUGGCCCAGUCAGAGUCCUGACCUCAACCCGAUUGAGAUGCUG